GCCCCGGCCACUCCACAACUAUGGUCGGCAAGCUGUGAAAAAAAGGAGGAAAUAAACCAGGCCCAGGCUCGGGCUGCGGCAGUGUGGAGACCUGUCGUAACGCGGACCGUUCCAACGCGGACGGCCGUGAGUGCACAUCAAGCGGAUGCUGUGUGCACGGAGCCGGAAAACAUGGCA
rnacentral:ncRNA from 1 species